AUUGAACGCUGGCGGCAGGCUUAACACAUGCAAGUCGAGCGGGGGAAGGUAGCUUGCUACCGGACCUAGCGGCGGACGGGUGAGUAAUGCUUAGGAAUCUGCCUAUUAGUGGGGGACAACAUCUCGAAAGGGAUGCUAAUACCGCAUACGUCCUACGGGAGAAAGCAGGGGAUCUUCGGACCUUGCGCUAAUAGAUGAGCCUAAGUCAGAUUAGCUAGUUGGUGGGGUAAAGGCCUACCAAGGCGACGAUCUGUAGCGGGUCUGAGAGGAUGAUCCGCCACACUGGGACUGAGACACGGCCCAGACUCCUACGGGAGGCAGCAGUGGGGAAUAUUGGACAAUGGGGGGAACCCUGAUCCAGCCAUGCCGCGUGUGCGAAGAAGGCCUUAUGGUUGUAAAGCACUUUAAGCGAGGAGGAGGCUACUUUAGUUAAUACCUAGAGAUAGUGGACGUUACUCGCAGAAUAAGCACCGGCUAACUCUGUGCCAGCCGCCGCAGUAA
rnacentral:rRNA from 1 species